AAUAGAUACCCCGGUAGUCCACGCCGUAAACGAUGAGUGCUAAGUGUUAGAGGGUUUCCGCCCUUUAGUGCUGCAGCUAACGCAUUAAGCACUCCGCCUGGGGAGUACGGCCGCAAGGCUGAAACUCAAAGGAAUUGACGGGGGCCCGCACAAGCGGUGGAGCAUGUGGUUUAAUUCGAAGCAACGCGAAGAACCUUACCAGGUCUUGACAUCCUCUGACAACCCUAGAGAUAGGGCUUUCCCCUUCGGGGGACAGAGUGACAGGUGGUGCAUGGUUGUCGUCAGCUCGUGUCGUGAGAUGUUGGGUUAAGUCCCGCAACGAGCGCAACCCUUGAUCUUAGUUGCCAGCAUUCAGUUGGGCACCCUAAGGUGACUGCCGGUGACAAACCGGAGGAAGGUGGGGAUGACGUCAAAUCAUCAUGCCCCUUAUGACCUGGGCUACACACGUGCUACAAUGGAUGGUACAAAGGGCUGCAAACCUGCGAAGGUAAGCGAAUCCCAUAAAGCCAUUCUCAGUUCGGAUUGCAGGCUG
rnacentral:rRNA from 1 species